AAAGGUUCUGAAGGCCCAGAGAGCUGCCCACCUCACAAGCCCCUGGGCUCCAGAACCAGCCAGUUCUCAGUGACCAUCUGCACAUCCUGGCCACUCAGAGGCUCCCGCAGCCUCACCUUCACCUCCAGCUUCCCCCCGGUGGGCUUCCUUCCAUCCAGGACCUGUGAGGACCACAGAGAGGGAAAUGGUAACUAAGGGGACAGAGAUGGGGAGCAGGCAGGUCCCUACAUUCCCAGGAAAGAAGUGAGAGGAGCUAAGAUGUCCUGUGGCAUGAACACAGGAAUCUCCAUUCAUGAAAACCCUACCCUCCCAGUAUUUGGAGGAGGAGGUGGUGGUGGUUUUAGGUGAGUCUUAUUAAAAAAGUAAUAAAUAAAUCCAGACAAGCAUCCUA
rnacentral:lncRNA from 1 species